rnacentral:rRNA from 1 species
UACGUAGGGUGCAAGCGUUAAUCGGAAUUACUGGGCGUAAAGCGUGCGCAGGCGGUUUUGUAAGUUUGUCGUGAAAUCCCCCGGGCUCAACCUGGGAAUUGCGAUGAAGACUGCAAGGCUAGAAUCUGGCAGAGGGGGGUAGAAUUCCACGUGUGAGCAGUGAAAUGCGUAGAGAUGUGGAGGAACACCGAUGGCGAAGGCAGCCCCCUGGGUCAACACUGACGCUCAUGCACGAAAGCGUGGGGAGCAACAGG